rnacentral:rRNA from 1 species
AUUGAACGCUGGCGGCAGGCCUAACACAUGCAAGUCGAGCGGAGCGGCGGACGGGUGAGUAAUGCCUAGGAAUCUGCCUGGUAGUGGGGGAUAACGUAGGGAAACUUACGCUAAUACCGCAUACGAUGGAAUGAGCCGUUGUCGGAUUAGCUAGUUGGGGGGGUAAAGGCCUACCAAGGCGACGAUCCGUAAGUGGUCUGAGAGGAUGAUCAGUCACACUGGAACUGAGACACGGUCCAGACUCCUACGGGAGGCAGCAGUGGGGAAUAUUGGACAAUGGGCGAAAGCCUGAUCCAGCCAUGCCGCGUGUGUGAAGAAGGUCUUCGGAUUGUAAAGCACUUUAAGUUGGGAGGCGUUACCAACAGAAUAAGCACCGGCUAACUUCGUGCCAGCCGCCGCGGUAAUUC